UGGCAAAUGACAGAAGCAAGCACUCUGAACUUAAUAGAGCAAUACAGCUCACAUUCCUGGCUGCACAAAACAGAAGGUGGAGGGGAGAGGAAGGAGUUGUGAUACCCUCUUCACCUAGACUCAGAUGUUGAAAACCUGGGAAUGUUCUUUCCCAUGACUCUGUGGUGCAAAGGCUAUUUCCAUCAGACAUCUACACCUACUGUCAAGAAGUCUUUAUUCACAUUGAAGGAUUCACACCAGCCUGAAUCCCCAUCAUGGCCCCUCAAAGUAGUUUUAGGUACUUUUGGGAAGAAUUAAAUAAACCUCAAGGAUGAAAAGAAUGGAGGAAUCCAGCAAUCUGAACUGAGACACAGCACCCUAAAGCUUGCCUGUUCCAGUCCAUGCUGCUCUUGAAUAAUGCUGAGGCAGCUUGUCUAUUACUGAACGGUUAUAUAGAAAGUGUUUGUCUUUUUGUAAUUUAAUCCUAUUGCUUCUGUCCUUUCCCAUGCUGGACAUAGAUAACAACUGCUUUGUUCUUCUCCUUUAACCACCUUUCACCAGACUAAAAUACAUGACUUUCAGUCCAAAUCAUUUAUCAUCCUGUUAUAUGUCCUCCAAAUUCUUUCAAACUUGUCAACACUAAUUUUCUACUGUCUUGCUCACAUGUGUACACAGCAUUCCUUGUGGGAAGAGGGAGCUUCAAAAUAUAAAACCAUCUCAUCAUAAAAGAAACAAGGAAGAUGUUUGUGUUACUUUCUCUUAUUGCCAUGUGUGAUAUCAUGCCAGAUGAAGCAGAAUGCCCACAAAGGCAAUUAUUUGUAUUUCCAAAACACAAUUUCCAUUGUGUUGAACAAUGAGAGGGGGAAGAGCAACUUCUCUACGAAAAUAAAAUUCUAAGCCACCAGAUAACCCAAACAGAUUCUAAAUAUGGAACUUUAUCGCACCACGGGCUGCUGGCAUGGGAUGAGAACGGAAUGGAAAGGGCCAGGAAUGAGUGGGGGAU